GCAACGCGAAGAACCUUACCUGGUCUUGACAUCCACGGAAGUUUUCAGAGAUGAGAAUGUGCCUUCGGGAACCGUGAGACAGGUGCUGCAUGGCUGUCGUCAGCUCGUGUUGUGAAAUGUUGGGUUAAGUCCCGCAACGAGCGCAACCCUUAUCCUUUGUUGCCAGCGGUCCGGCCGGGAACUCAAAGGAGACUGCCAGUGAUAAACUGGAGGAAGGUGGGGAUGACGUCAAGUCAUCAUGGCCCUUACGACCAGGGCUACACACGUGCUACAAUGGCGCAUACAAAGAGAAGCGACCUCGCGAGAGCAAGCGGACCUCAUAAAGUGCGUCGUAGUCCGGAUUGGAGUCUGCAACUCGACUCCAUGAAGUCGGAAUCGCUAGUAAUCGUGGAUCAGAAUGCCACGGUGAAUACGUUCCCGGGCCUUGUACACACCGCCCGUCACACCAUGGGAGUGGGUUGCAAAAGAAGUAGGUAGCUUAACCUUCGGGAGGGCGCUUACCACUUUGUGAUUCAUGACUGGGGUGAAGUCGUAACAAGGUAACCGUAGGGGAACCUGCGGUUGGAUCAC
rnacentral:rRNA from 1 species